CCGGAACCCAAGUGCCGCGGGGCUUGACCUCCCUGAAGAAUUAAGCGUCCCAUGCUCUCUCCACAAUAGCUGACCUGUGGAAGCUGCACCCGAAAGCUGGACACUGGGCUGGGUGUCUGUGGGUUGACUCGGGAAUGAAGCUUUAAAGUUCAUCCCUGGACACUCCUGCGCCCUUCCCAGAAACUGUCAAUCUCAUAUUUACAUCCUUCUCAUGGGAAAGGAUAAAAAGCAGGCCAGAGGAAGGAUUAAACUGAAAUGUGAGCAGAGCAGAUCUCAAGAUGCGGACCUAGGAAGUCUCCUGUCAGCCCCCAAGGACCCUAUUAAACCCUGGCUGUCCGGCUGCCCUGCUGCCCUGACCAGGGCAGGUUCGCAGCGGGGCUCUGCUCCUUAACAAGCUCCCCAGGGAACUUGGUAUGCCUAAGAAAAUGUGGGAACUGCCAGUGGAGUUUGCCCGCAUUCUGUAACACAUCAGUGCCUAACCCAGUACGAUGCUGGCUUGGCUUCAGGAGCUGAUACACCUGUCCGUGGGCACGGAAACCGUUCUCAAGACUCGGGAACCCUGCCUUCAUCACACCGUGAUUCCUUUAUCCCCAGACCUGGCUGAGCAACUCGCUGCCUUGUAGACCUGAGUGCAGCCACAUUUCAUCCUGGCGGAUUGGGAAACGCCAGAGUCCUUUACCCACCCCACCCCCAGCUUCCGAAGCAGCAUUUUCAUUACUGAUGCGGGGUGGAGGUGGGAGCUGGGGGUAGGGGGAUCCCUUGGGGAUGAAACAAGGACAUGGACAGGGGGCUGAGGUAACAUAGGACCAGCUGGGGUCUGCCUUCGGCCUAUAGUGCCUGGGUUCUCAUGCUACUUAUAUCAGCAUGAUGGAUGGCUGGAAGACUGAGAUUGCAUUAUGGGGUGAGUUAUUGUUUAUGAAUCCCCAUUUGAUGGGGGACUGGUUUGCAAUGUUAUUUCACCACAAAGACAAUAUGUAAUGCAGGGCUGGGAAAGAAGCUGCAUGUUAGGGAAGAAAGAAAGCGUGUAUGUGUUUGACAAUUAGAGCAGGUCCCUGGGGGCCAGCAAUAGGGACAGAGGGAAAAUCAUUCCCAAAAGAUACUGAAGUGAAAACAGAGAAGGCAAAAUACAAAAAGUGUAAGUACCAGCCCAGGAAAGACUAAGCCUCCAUCGAUGUGCCAAAGGGUUCUGGGGGUGGGGAGAGUUGGGGGGGGGUGAACAAACCCAUCAUGAGUAAACUAGGUAAAAUGCUUGUCAACAAAGUGUACAGACUUGCAAGGUGCUUCUAUAGCCAAUUCCUAGUCCACAGAGGAGAUCACAAAAGGAUCAUCUGGGCAGGCAAGAUGGCUCAGCGGGUAAAGGGCCUCACCGCCAAGCCUGACAACCUGAGUUCAAUCCCCAGGACCCCCGUGGUGGAAGGAGAACACCGGCUCCUGCAAGUACACACGUACUCCAACUCUCUCAUAGAUAGAUGAUAGAUAGGUGAUAGAUAUAUAGGCAGAUAAAUAGAUGAUAGAUAGUAGAUAGAUGAUAGAUAGUAGAUAGAUGAUAGAUAGAUAGAUGUAAAAAAAAUAAAUUUAAUUAACUAAUAAAGAGUCAGCGCCUUUCCCAUCUUUCUCAUGUUCCCAGGCAACAAACACAUAGGUACAGGGAGAGAGAAAGGAAGCCAACCACAGGAAGCCUGGGGAUCUCAGGACAGCCCUGAAGCUCCACCCAGCCCCUUGGCCUGCUUCCUGAGGAGGAACCUGUUCUGUCUGGAUUGUCCUUUUUUUUUUUUUUUUUUUUUUUUUUUUUGGUUUUAACACCCCACUCAAUGCCUGGCCAGUGAAUGAUGAAAGGAAGGUGGAAAGAGGACAUGACGGCAGGGGCUCCUGGCCAGCGGCUUGAUCUGCAACCCAGUUUGCUUAGAAAGAAUAAGCUAAGAACUCUGACAGCAGCACUCGGGCUGUAAGCAGAGCCAGAGUGUGGGCUGGGCCUCCCAGAGCCCCCACACCCACAGCCCACUCAGGCGUCCACCUGCUCCUUCUUUUUGCCACCCUGAUGCUCAUCCAGCCAGGAGACCCGUUUUCUUCUUUCAGCCUCAGCUUGCUCAUCUGUGAGAUGAGAAAUUAUAGAUCCCACCCCAAAGGGUCACAUGGUGAUACACACUUUGACCCUAGCCCUCAGGAGGCAGAGGCGGGUGCAAAUUUUAGGUUAGCCAGAGUUACACAGUGAGGAGUCUUUCUCCAAAAUAAAGUAAGAUGAAAUUCUGUUUCA